AUUGAACGCUGGCGGCAGGCUUAACACAUGCAAGUCGAGCGGAGAUGAGGUGCUUGCACCUUAUCUUAGCGGCGGACGGGUGAGUAAUGCUUAGGAAUCUGCCUAUUAGUGGGGGACAACAUUCCGAAAGGAAUGCUAAUACCGCAUACGUCCUACGGGAGAAAGCAGGGGAUCUUCGGACCUUGCGCUAAUAGAUGAGCCUAAGUCGGAUUAGCUAGUUGGUGGGGUAAAGGCCUACCAAGGCGACGAUCUGUAGCGGGUCUGAGAGGAUGAUCCGCCACACUGGGACUGAGACACGGCCCAGACUCCUACGGGAGGCAGCAGUGGGGAAUAUUGGACAAUGGGGGGAACCCUGAUCCAGCCAUGCCGCGUGUGUGAAGAAGGCCUUAUGGUUGUAAAGCACUUUAAGCGGGGAGGAGGCUACUGAGUCUAAUACUCUUGGAUAGUGGACGUUACUCGCAGAAUAAGCACCGGCUAACUCUGUGCCAGCCGCCGCCGUAAAAC
rnacentral:rRNA from 1 species